rnacentral:snRNA from 1 species
AUGAUGGCAGGGGCGACGCCGUGAUCACAAAGGUGGUUUUCCCAGGGCAAGGCUCACCCAUUGCACUUUGGAUGCCCCUGUGAUUUACUCAAAUGUGGGAAACUCGAUGGUCCCAUUGCACUUUGGAUGUGCUGCCCUUGUGAUUUACUCAAAUGUGGGAAACUCGAUGGCAUAAUUUGUGCUGGUGAGGGGACUGCAUUCACAGUUACUCC